CGAAACCAACAUAGGUGAGCUUGUGCGCGUCUAUUCCCUGGCAUCCGUCUGCGCCGGGUCCGCCUCGGUCACUUUCAGAGCGCCAUUUCCAGUGCUGAGGGACUGACAAGGAAAACACUCCUCAAGAAGCGCGGCAAAAGUUCAGGUGGACUUUAUAAACCCCCGGGAGCCAUGUGGAGUACUUUUUUAUGAUGGAAGGACACACUUUAUUGGACUUCUUGUGGACUGCUGAAUAUAUAUUCAGGGCGGUCUCUCACCAGCAAGCAAGAGUCUGGGCAGCAGAAGUAGCCCAAGGUCAGGAGAGGUGGUUGGUACACUCACACUUGCACAACAACAGACAGCCACAGCAGGUUUUCCUAUUAAAACCUCACACCUUUCAGUCACAGAUGACAGUGAGGUGCUUAACUGAGAAGACGGCGACCGGCCUGCUGAGCAGAGGACACACAUUGAUUAAAGCUGGCAUUUAAAAACUACUUGUCGUAGUUUGUCCCUGCUUUGAGGAGCACCGGAUGGGUUUAAGAUGGAGAUUUCCCCCGGGGACACGGUUCAUGUGAACGUGUUGAUUAUCCUCGGCCAUAAGUUACACCCUCAACUGGCCCGCGGACACAAUUAAUCACAUGACCCACUGCGGCGAGAUUAAUUCUAAAGCCUUGGACGCCCCUUCCAUUCAAUCAUGGAUGGAAAUCUAAAAGAGACGGCCAAUAAUAGGAGCACACACAGAGACUAAUGAGAAGAUGAAUGCUGCUACAUAGGGAGAGAAAAUCAAACAAACAAAUAAACAAACAGAUGCCCUUAUUUAAUCAGAUUCGGGUGAAGUCAGGCAAUAGAGACAGACUGUGCCGUCCACCAGCUGCUAGUUGUCACACCAGUAACUGCACUACAGGACUACUGUAACUCAACCCUAACAUAGCAACCCACUCAUAAUCGGCAUGACAAAAUGACACCCGGUCAUCACCAUAACCCGCUCCCUUGGGGCAUGAAAACUGUGGACUGUAAUACUAACAU